UGCAGUCGAACGGCAGCGGGGGCUUCGGCCUGCCGGCGAGUGGCGAACGGGUGAGUAAUGCAUCGGAACGUACCCAGUCGUGGGGGAUAACUACGCGAAAGCGUAGCUAAUACCGCAUACGCCCUGAGGGGGAAAGCGGGGGACCUUCGGGCCUCGCGCGAUUGGAGCGGCUGAUGUCGGAUUAGCUAGUUGGUGGGGUAAAGGCCUACCAAGGCGACGAUCCGUAGCUGGUCUGAGAGGAUGAUCAGCCACACUGGGACUGAGACACGGCCCAGACUCCUACGGGAGGCAGCAGUGGGGAAUUUUGGACAAUGGGCGCAAGCCUGAUCCAUCCAUGCCGCGUGAGUGAAGAAGGCCUUCGGGUUGUAAAGCUCUUUCAGACGGAAAGAAAUCGGGCGCGUGAAUAGCGUGCCUGGAUGAC
rnacentral:rRNA from 1 species